UCCUCGCUCUUGCUCUGCCACACGCGUCCACUGCUUCGACCACAGCCGAUCCGUUGAGUUUCCCUUAGGAUCACCGGGCUUUCACUGUGUCCUUUUUCACCCCAAAAGGCGCUCAAAGAUCGCUUGAUGAGAUGUAUGAGCUCUAACUCCGUAACUCGGGUGGCUGUAUCUCAUUCUAGAGCUUGCCUUGAUGUUUGCAGAGACCUCACACAAAGAAGAAUGUCCAGUAUACAAAUAAUGCUGUCACUUGGGGAGCCGGAGAGAUGAUGGUUCUGCAGUUAACAGCGCUUGUGCACAAGCUCAAGGACAAGAGUUCACAUCCCAACGCCCAGGCAACCAGCCCGGCAACCUGCCCAUGCCUGUAACCCCAGCUCUGAUUCGGGCGAAGCAGGAAAACAGUUAGGGCUUGCUGCCUUCCAGCGGGCUGGGGGUGGGGGGAUGCAAACUCCAGGUUAAGGAAGAGACCUGCAUCAAAAGGAAAGGGCAGAAAUGUAAGAGGACACCAGAUGCCCUCUUCUGGCCUGAGAGUGUGCACACAGCUUCCACACACACAUGCCCAUACACAGACAUAUAUGAACACAUACAAAUAAAUAUUUUUUAUUGUAA